UAUUUUUUGCCUUGACCUAAGCACACCUGUGAAGGGGAUUGUCCUCGUCGCCGCACAAAAUCGAAAUUCUCUGCCAACGCCGGGAAAACCUCGACGGUGGAGAUGGACGAUGAGAGAGUAGAAGACGCGCAGGAGAUCGUCCUCGUAGCCCGGAAGGGAGGCUUCGGCCUUCCCACCGCCUGCCCCGUCUGCCUCCCCGUCUACUGCUACCUUCGCUUCGCCAAGGUCAACUUCAAACUCCGUAUCGACCGCUCCAACCCCGACUCCGAUCACAUACCAUAUGUUGAGUAUGGGGAUUAUGUUGCUUUGAACAAUGAGAAGGGAGGAGUUCUCGAAAUUUUGAAUGAAGAAAACAUUAUACAGUUGGAUUCUGAACUUUCCAAGGACUGUUUCUCUGAUUGGGUAUCCACAAAAGUGAUGAUCAGCACCUGGCUUGCAGAAGCAGUGCAAUAUGAACUGUGGGUGGCUUGUGAUAGUUCCAUUGCCGAUUACAUAUAUUUCUCUGACCUUCCCUGGGCUAUCGGAAAGGUUCUCCACUGGAAUCAAUCUCGAGCAGUGAAGCAAUUGCAUGGAAUAACUAAGCUUAAUGUUACAGAGAAAGAGGAAGAGAUUUACCGUAAAGCAAAUUUAGCAUACAAUGCUCUAUCUGCGAAACUGGGGAAUGAGGAGUUUUUCUUUGAAGAAAGGCCUACUAGUGUGGAUGCUCUUUUCCUUGCACAUGCUGCCUUUGUGAUCAAUGCUUUGCCGGAAACAUCGUUAUUGAGAAGCAGUCUUGUAAAGUAUGCCAACCUAACAAGGUUUGUAGAAACUUUUAAAGGCGACAUGCUAGAAGCUAGUUGUUCAUCUUCACAAACAGCCUCUCCUUUUGAAGCAUCGUCAUCAUCAGUCCCCAGGACCAAAAAAUCAAAGCAGAGUCCUAAGCCCAAGCCAAAGAAAAGAGAAAGAACAGAGGAGGAGAAAUCGUUCCGGAGAAGAGCCAAGUAUUUUAUCGCAGCUCAGGUUGUCUCAGUACUGAUAUUCUUGACCGUGCUCGGAGGGAUGGGUGAUUUCGGAGUUGAUGACGAUGACAAUGAUGGUCUGGCAUACGACGACUGAUUGCAUUGCCACUUCCAUAAAGUCGAUAUUGCAUUUGCCGGCCAUUUUCUGAUUACACAAAAUUUCAAGGGAAAAAUAGGGAGCUAUGCCACCUCAAAAACUCCAACGCCGACGGCCGCACGACGCCUCCAUCAGACGCAGUUUCCGUCGUGGUCAUCGCGUUCCUUGAGCGCCUCGAUCCUGGCGAGCGCCUCCUCGAGCUCGCACCUCCUCUCCACGUCAGCCUCCGAGCACGCCAGGGCCACGCGCAGCAGCUUGAGCAUCUCCCCCUCGCCGCCCUCCGUCCCCUUCAUGUUCGCGUCGAACACCUCGCCGGCGCUCCGUUGCUGCUGCUGCUGCUCCUCCUCCGCCUUCACCAACGAGCUGACCCAGUUGUUCAGGUCGGUGCCGACGUGUCGUCCCUUCCUGAGGUAGUUGGCCGGGAACCUGCCGGUGAGGAUCUCGAGGAUGAGGAUGCCGAAGCUCCAGACGUCGGACUUCUUGCUCGGCCUGCCCCCGCCGGCGCACUCGGGCGCCUUGAAGGCCACCAUGAUCUGGGAGGCGUGCGACUUGUUCAUGACGGGCACGAGCGCGUAGUCGGAGAGGAUGGGCUCGAAGGAGUAGGUGAGGAGCACGUUGGAGGACUUGAGAUGGCCGUGCGGCACCGCCAGCACCGGCAGCUCCUCGUGCAGAUACCUCAGCCCCCGGCCCACCCCCUUCACGAUCUUCAGCCGACUCGGCCAAUCCAGCGGAGGAACACUCGUCGAUCCCUUGCUCCCUGCAACCAAAAUUUUAGGGUGAGCUAAGCUGCCAUGGAAGACGUAAUCUGUGACCAAGAGCUUCUCCUCUUUCCUGUAGUAGUAAGCCACCAGGGGGAGCAGGUUCGGGUGCGUGAGCCUUCCGAGUCUCCUCAUGUGCUCGUAGAAGUCUUCUCUCCCCGCCCCGUUCAUCUCCUUGAACCUCUUCACCACCACCGCCGGCCCCUCGGAGAGGAUGGCCUUGUAGGAAGACCCGAAGCUGCCGCUGCCGAGCACCUCCGCCGACGCCUUCAGCAGGUCCUGGAUGUUGAACUUCACUCUGUCAUCCUUGACGAACGCCAGCCGGCCCUGCUCCUCCUUCGGCACCUUCUUUCCGCUGCCCACGCUCGCAUGCUCCUCCCUGUUCGCCUGCGGGCACGGUCGUCCGUCCGUCGGUUGGUUUGGUGGAAUUGCUAAUCGCUUUGAGUCGAGCGAUGGAGAAAUUCCUUACCGGAACAGGCUCGAUCUUGGCAGGUUGGGUCGUCGGAAGCGCCCCUCCUGCGUCCUUGUGCUGCUUCCGAGACCGGCAGAAGAUGAACGACAACCCGAUUGCCGCCAAUAAGACGGCGAUGCAGACGAGGAUGAUCCCCGCGAUGAAUCCCGGCGACCUCCUCGGAGACCCGCAUUCGUACCUCAGAGGCGCGCCGCACAGAUCGUCGUUGCCUGCAACAGCGAUGAUUAUGAGUAAUUGAUUUUUUUUUUUUUCCUUCUGUUCAAUUUAUUUUCUUGAGAGCUCACCGGCGAACCAGUCGGCGUUUAUCUUCCUGAAGCGCCUCGGGAUGGGUCCUUGGAGAUUGUUAUUGGAUAGGUUGGCCAGCCAUAGUCCGGGCUGCCGAAAGUUCGGGAUCCGACCGUGGAACUGGUUGCCGUCGAGGCGUAGCUCCAGGAGCCUUGCCGCUCGCGCCAGCGAGCUCGGGAUCGGGCCGGAGAAUUGGUUCCGCGAGAAGUGCACCUUCUUGAUCCACUGCAGGCGGUCGAACAGGCCGUCGGGCAGCUCGCCGGAGAACCUGUUCAUGGAGAGGUAGACGGAGCGGAGGCCGGGGAACUUGGUCAGGUCCGGGAUGGUGCCCUCGAAGCUGUUGUUCUUGAAGCUCAUGGUGCGGAGCGUGGGGAUGCCGACGAGUGCGUCGGUGUUGAGGGUGCCGGCUAGGCUCAUGUUCUCGAUCUUGACGCCGCGGACGCUGCCGUCGAGGUUGCAGAUGACGCCGGACCAGAGGGUGACGUUGGCUCGGCAGGGGGAGGAGCCCGGGACCCAGUUGCGGAGGGCGACGUCGGUGCCGGAUGCGGAGGCGGAGAGGGCGGCCUUGAAUUGGAGGAGGACGUCGGCGACGGCGGCGGCGGAGGCGAGGGAGCUCUGGCGUGAGGCGGCGAGGAGGAGGAG